rnacentral:rRNA from 1 species
UACGUAGGGCGCAAGCGUUGUCCGGAAUUAUUGGGCGUAAAGAGCUCGUAGGCGGUUUGUCGCGUCUGCUGUGAAAACCUAAGGCUCAACCUUGGGCUUGCAGUGGGUACGGGCAGACUAGAGUGCGGUAGGGGUGACUGGAAUUCCUGGUGUAGCGGUGGAAUGCGCAGAUAUCAGGAGGAACACCGAUGGCGAAGGCAGGUCACUGGGCCGCAACUGACGCUGAGGAGCCGAAAGCAUGGGGAGCGAACAGG